rnacentral:rRNA from 1 species
AGUGAACGCUGGCGGCGUGCCUAAUACAUGCAAGUCGAACGGAGUGGCGCACGGGUGAGUAAUAUAUAGCUAAUCUGCCCCUUGCUGGAGGACAACAGUUAGAAAUGACUGCUAAUACUCCAUAGAAAGGGAUGAGACUAUAUCGUAUCAGCUAGUCGGUGGGGUAACGGCCUACCGAGGCUAUGACGCGUAACUGGUCUGAGAGGAUGAUCAGUUACAUUAGAAGUGAGACACGAUCCAAACACCUACGGCAGGCAGCGGUAGGGAAUAGUACGCAGUGGGGGAAAACAAGGCGCAGCAGAGCCGCGUGAAGGAUGACACUUCUCGAAGAGUAAACUCCUUUUGUUAGGAACACGGUACCUACCGAAUAAGCACCGGCUAACUCCGUGCCAGCAGCCGCGGUAAUUC